GAUUUUAGUAAAUUUUACAUAGCUCCUUCCCUCAAACUUCGAAUAGUUUUCUCCUGUUUUCUAGGAUUUCCAGUAGAGAAGGGAAAUUCGGUCCACUUGAAAGAUUCACUGCAUGGUGAGUUCUUGGCAGCAAGCAACAGAAAGCAAUGAUCACAAACGUACACAGAGAAAGAAUUCAUCGGUAGAGUUCCAUUGGGGAGCUCAUGGAACUGAAGUCCCAGGCUUAACACAAGACAGGCACCCACAGGGGUCAUAGCCAAGGCCACACGACAGAGACAAUUAGGGCCCAGCUGCCUCCUCCCACCUUGAGCUGUGCUCUAGUGACAAGGUCUGUUUUGCAUCAUCACCUUUUAAACCUGUGCUGACACAUUCCUUCUGCAGUGGAUCUUCACAUUCCUUAAGGAAAAGUGCUUGCAAGACAAAUAAAUCCUGCUCUUGCCAGGAUCCGUCUCCUGUAUGACUUCUGCAGGUAGCGUACCGACAGAACUCUUCCCCAACAGGCCCGGGAUGGAGAACACAGGGGAGGCGGGAAGAGGGCGUCCUGUGUUCCCAGACUCUUGCCCCCACUUAGGCCCUCUGAGCCCUCAUGAAGAGAAGUGAGUAGAGACGAGGUUGGGGGUCACCCUGCUCUGCCUGCCAGGCAACAUCUCCAGCCAUGGGGAGCCCUGUCGCUCAGAGGGGUCAGUGCCCUGCGUUCCUUCCGUGGUGCUGUUCCUGAGUCCCCCACAUCAGGUGUCACGCUCUCCCCUAUCUGAGGGGCACACUCCCUUCUUCCUCUCCCCUGGGUCCUGCUUGCUUGAAAUUUGUAGCUUCCUGAAGACAGACUGGGAGAGUGGGGCUAGUCCCUCUAGGCGCUGCUGGGAUUCGGGUUGUAAUCCCACCCAAGGUUGGGAUCUCCAUCUCUCCGCUGACUCAUUACCCAU